rnacentral:rRNA from 1 species
GUCCACGCCGUAACGAUGCGUGCUAGACGUUGGGUGGUUCGCCAUUCGAUGUCGCAGCUAACGCGUUAAGCACGCCGCCUGGGGAGUACGGCCGCAAGGUUAAACUCAAAGGAAUUGACGGGCCCGCACAAGCGGUGGAGCAUGUGGUUUAAUUCGAUGCAACGCGAAGAACCUUACCUGCCCUUGACAUGGGAAGUAUGGCCCUCGGAGACGGGGGCCUUCAGUUCGGCUGGCUUCCACACAGGUGCUGCAUGGCUGUCGU